AACGCACGAGACCUGCGGACCUGCGGAGGGAUCAUUACAUGGCGGAGGAGGUGGGCACCUAGUAAAAACAAAACCCUAGGUGUGUUGCCUACCACGCUUUCUACCCUUGUCUAUUUGCACCUUUUGUCGUUCCCUCGGUGGGUCUUGAACCUGCCGGCGGCAACUUUCAAAAACCUUUUGUAGCUAGUAUCUAAUUCUUCUGAUCAAAUAUUCAAUCGUUACAACUUUCAGCAACGGAUC
rnacentral:misc_RNA from 1 species